CAGACAGACGACACGGGGACAUGGCUUGGCGGGGACGUGGCUUGGCGGGCAAAGCUACUUGAAGGUCUGAUUGGACUCCACCGCGACAAGACCACAAGUUGAAAAAACCAGAGAAGUUGUCCUCCGAUGUCUCAUCGAUCACCUUGGUGAAGAUGUGAGUGCCUUAAUCAAGACUUUUGAGAAUGUUGAUUCAGCUGUCGGUGUGGAAAAAGAGCUGGCAGCACAGGUGAUGGCUGUGUACUUGGUCUGGAAUGAAAGUGGACAGGUCGAUGAUGUUGGGAUCGUCAUUGAAGGUUCCACUGUACUCAGCCAUCUUGGGGAUCUCAGCAGAGCCUGUUGCUACCUGCUAGGACUGACCUAUGCUUUGGAUCUGAUAUACCCCAAAACUCUUAAAUACAUUUUUGAGGUAUUUCAAAAGAUGCUUUUGGAAGUGGAUUCCGGAAACCUUUCAGCAAAGGUGCAAAGACUGAGAAACAGUAUGGUCAUGUAGUUGCUGAGAGGCAGCUGUUCAGAUGAGAAAAUGUGACUCAUACCCAAUUGAGCCAUGUGUGGAAUGUGAUAAAUGACCGUUAUUAUUGAAGUUAUGUACAGAAACCUGGACAAUCUAAAGCUCCAUUAAAUCAGAUGAUCUCCAGGUGUGGUCAGGCUCACAGUGUUGGAAAGAUUUCAGUGUGUUUUGAGUCAACAUUUUACACCUUGCAUUGAUAAGCCUUUUCUCUCUUUUUUUCCCAUUUAUAAGCCAUUCAGCAUCUGAUUUCAGUUUACAGGCAAUUUCCCUACAAAUGACUUAAAUGCAUUUUAAGUUCAAAGUAUCUUGAAUUGUUAUAAAUACAGAAGUCUUUAAAAAAGCAUGUCCAACACAGAUGACAGAAGAGUGAGACUAAAGUAAAUAGUGGGGAUAAUUUAGAUUUUUGCCUUAUUUAAUGGAUUUUGAUUUUAAGCAGUAAUCAUAAUUUUUACUCAAAAGGGUAAUUCCAGGAUUUUUGAACCUGGGCUUUAUUUUUCCAUGUCUUUGGGUGCACAUUUACAACAUAAGUUCCAUAUCGCUUGGCAAUUUAGUUUGUCCCUUUGAAGAUUGCUCUUGGUUGUCCUUUUAUCACUUUAUUCAAAGUAGAUGUGUAUACAAUCUGUGUCUCACCCUGUCUGCAGAUGUUGACCUGUUGUGUAACGGUAACUGCAUGCUCUUAUGGGUCUUCCCUUUUGGCACUUGUUUAGUUUUUUCACAAUGUAUGCUUCAUGUUUUGGCUGCUUGCAAUUGUUGGGGGAUUUUUGUGACCUGGUGACCUCAAGAAAGGAGUCAACUAGGACAGGGGUUAGAUGAGGUGAGGAAAUAGCCCACGUAGGGAACUAGGCCAGGAAAGACUUGUUUAUCCCCAUGCAAGGAAUUAGGUGAGAGAGGAGGCUGUUUGGGUCCCAUGCUCGAUAAUGAGGAGAAGAGUGAGCUGGGAGAGUCACUCUCCC